rnacentral:rRNA from 1 species
GAGGAAAGAGGGCGGCGUGCCUAAUACAUGCAAGUCGAGCGAACGGACGAGAAGCUUGCUUCUCUGAUGUUAGCGGCGGACGGGUGAGUAACACGUGGAUAACCUACCUAUAAGACUGGGAUAACUUCGGGAAACCGGAGCUAAUACCGGAUAAUAUUUUGAACCGCAUGGUUCAAAAGUGAAAGACGGUCUUGCUGUCACUUAUAGAUGGAUCCGCGCUGCAUUAGCUAGUUGGUAAGGUAACGGCUUACCAAGGCAACGAUGCAUAGCCGACCUGAGAGGGUGAUCGGCCACACUGGAACUGAGACACGGUCCAGACUCCUACGGGAGGCAGCAGUAGGGAAUCUUCCGCAAUGGGCGAAAGCCUGACGGAGCAACGCCGCGUGAGUGAUGAAGGUCUUCGGAUCGUAAAACUCUGUUAUUAGGGAAGAACAUAUGUGUAAGUAACUGUGCACAUCUUGACGGUACCUAAUCAGAAAGCCACGGCUAACUACGUG